GCCAGCUGGCAGCCCAUAGCAUUGCUUGCUUUGCUCUCCCAUCUCUGCUCUUGCAAGUUUCACUGCCCUUUCUCUUGCUGUGCGAACCUCCUGAUCUUUGAGACUGCAGCUUCUCCCUAAAUGAGAAAGCUGGCUGCAAGAUGAGGGGAGCCAAGAAAAGGCAGGGGAAGCAGGUGAGCAAAGCAACAUCCGGGAGUUACAUUGAUCCCUUUCUGACAAGCAAAACCAACAGGGAAAUCAGAUUCACUUAACAACUGUGUGACUGACUUAACAACUACAGUGAUUCACUUAACAAGUGUGGCAAGAAAGUUUCAGAGAAGAUGCGAAUGAGGGUGG